rnacentral:rRNA from 1 species
CCUACGGGAGGCAGCAGUAGGGAAUCUUCCGCAAUGGGCGAAAGCCUGACGGAGCAACGCCGCGUGAGUGAAGAAGGAUUUCGGUUCGUAAAGCUCUGUUGUUAGGGAAGAAUGAUUGUGUAGUAACUAUACACAGUAGAGACGGUACCUAACCAGAAAGCCACGGCUAACUACGUGCCAGCAGCCGCGGUAAUACGUAGGUGGCAAGCGUUGUCCGGAAUUAUUGGGCGUAAAGCGCGCGCAGGUGGUUUAAUAAGUCUGAUGUGAAAGCCCACGGCUCAACCGUGGAGGGUCAUUGGAAACUGUUAAACUUGAGUGCAGGAGAGAAAAGUGGAAUUCCUAGUGUAGCGGUGAAAUGCGUAGAGAUUAGGAGGAACACCAGUGGCGAAGGCGGCUUUUUGGCCUGUAACUGACACUGAGGCGCGAAAGCGUGGGGAGCAAACAGGAUUAGAUACCCUGGUAGUCCACGCCGUAAACGAUGAGUGCUAAGUGUUGGUCUCAUAAGAGAUCAGUGCUGCAGCUAACGCAUUAAGCACUCCGCCUGGGGAGUACGACCGCAAGGUUGAAACGUUAAAGAGUAGUAGCGUGAGAGAGACGACGACGACGACGACGGAGGAGGAG